GACAGAAACUGUUCUAGGAACACUUGGGUACACACCACCAGAGUACAUAAAGGAUGGUUUGAUCUCAAUUAAGUUUGAUAUAUUCAGUUUGGGUGUCGUGAUCAUAAAGAUAAUGACCGGACGAGAGGGCUACUUCCAAAUUGAUGAUAUGUCUUCCCAAAAAUUCAUUGAGCUCGUACAUAUGGACUGGAUGAAUAGGCUACAAGCGAUAUCAGUGCACGUAUAUUCUGUACAAAUAAGGAGAUGCAUCGAAAUAGCUUUAAGUUGUGUGGAGGCUGAUCGACACAAAAGGCCAAGUAUUGGGUUAAUCGUCAGUACUCUUAAUAAGACGGAAUCUUGUGCCCAGAUCUUGGAUGCAUUAAGAAAUGACUCAGCCUCAUCGAUUAACCAGGUGCGACCCCUAAUGACAAGAUUUAUCUUUUUAUGCGAUAUUGGAUAAAGGUAUACGCGAGUUAA